AUGGUGCGUUCUGAACAUCUAACUACAGAGUACAAUGGAUUCAUCAAACAGCCACGAGAAGUCAACACAUUCAGAGAAGACACAAGAGCAGGCUAUCUAAGAGGAGGUGAACUUGGUGACGGCCUUGGUCCCCUCAGAGACGGCGUGCUUGGCGAGCUCGCCGGGGAGGACGAGGCGGACGGAGGUCUGGAUCUCCCUGGACGUGAUGGUGGGCUUCUUGUUGUAGCGCGCCAGCUUGGCGGACUCGCCGGCGAGCUUCUCGAAGAUGUCGUUGAUGAAGGAGUUCAUGAUGGACAUGGCCUUGGAGGAGAUGCCGAUGUCGGGGUGCACCUGCUUCAGCACCUUGAAGAUGUAGAUCUUGUACGUCUCCACGCUCUUCUUGUUCUUCUUCUUCCCCUUCUUCUCGCCGCCCUCCUUGGACGCUGGUGGCCGCUUCUCGGCCUUGGUCUUCUUCCCCGCCGUGGUCUUCUCGGCCUUCUCCGCCACCGGCUUCUUCUCCGCCUUGGGGGCCAUGGAUGCCGUUGGUUGCUGCUACUUGGACGGGGAGAGGUGUGGUGCUGUUUGGCUGGUGAGGAAUCGGCGGCGAGGGCGCGGAGGAUUUAUUGGAGAGGAGAGGCGGGCUCUGAUUGGUGGAGGGGUGCGUGCCACGGAUCGGUGGCCUCGAUUGAUUUGAUACGAUCUCAGCCGUUCGCCGCUGUAUGCGAUGGACGGGUUGGAUGCACCUCGGCGCGGAUCGCUGACGUGGUGGGCGUGCAGAAGACAGAUUUUUUUUUUGAGGGAGUGCAGAAGACAGAUGGGUUUCAGCCACGCGCGCAUACCGAAAUAUCAACCUGA
rnacentral:rRNA from 1 species